rnacentral:rRNA from 1 species
AUGCGUGGUGUAGCGGUGAAAUGCAUAGAUAUCACGCAGAACUCCGAUUGCGAAGGCAGCAUACCGGCGCUCAACUGACGCUCAUGCACGAAAGUGUGGGUAUCGAACAGGAUUAGAUACCCUGGUAGUCCACACAGUAAACGAUGAAUACUAAUUGUUCGGGGAGAAUGAUCCCUGAGUGAUACAGCGAAAGCGUUAAGUAUUCCACCUGGGGAGUACGCCGGCAACGGUGAAACUCAAAGGAAUUGACGGGGGCCCGCACAAGCGGAGGAACAUGUGGUUUAAUUCGAUGAUACGCGAGGAACCUUACCCGGGCUCAAACGGGAGAUGACGCGGGCAGAGACGCCCGUUUCUUAGGACAUCUUCCGAGGUGCUGCAUGGUUGUCGUCAGCUCGUGCCGUGAGGUGUCGGCUUAAGUGCCAUAACGAGCGCAACCCCUGCCGACAGUUGCUAACGCGUUGAGGCGAGGACUCUGUCGGGACUGCCGGCGCAAGCCGCGAGGAAGGCGGGGAUGACGUCAAAUCAGCACGGCCCUUACGUCCGGGGCGACACACGUGUUACAAUGGGGGGUACAGCGGGAAGCCAGGCGGCGACGCCGAGCGGAACCCGAAAGCCUCUCUCAGUUCGGAUCGGAGUCUGCAACCCGACUCCGUGAAGCUGGAUUCGCUAGUAAUCGCGCAUCAGCCAUGGCGCGGUGAAUACGUUCCCGGGCCUUGUACACACCGCCCGUCAAGCCAUGGGAGCCGGGGGUGCUUGAAGUGCGUCGCCUUGAGGCGCGCCCUAGAGCAAAACCGGUGACUGGGGCUAAGUCGUAACAAGGUAACCGUAA